AACGAACGCUGGCGGCAUGCCUAACACAUGCAAGUCGAACGAGACCUUCGGGUCUAGUGGCGCACGGGUGCGUAACGCGUGGGAACCUGCCUUUAGGUUCGGAAUAACAGUGAGAAAUUACUGCUAAUACCGGAUGAUGUCUUCGGGCCAAAGAUUUAUCGCCUUUAGAUGGGCCCGCGUUGGAUUAGCUAGUUGGUGGGGUAAAGGCCUACCAAGGCGACGAUCCAUAGCUGGUCUGAGAGGAUGAUCAGCCACACUGGAACUGAGACACGGUCCAGACUCCUACGGGAGGCAGCAGUGGGGAAUUUUGGACAAUGGGCGCAAGCCUGAUCUAGCCAUGCCGCGUGAGCGAUGAAGGCCUUAGGGUGUAAAGCUCUUUCAGUGGGGAAGAUAAUGACUGUACCCACAGAAGAAGCCCCGGCUAACUCCGUG
rnacentral:rRNA from 1 species